rnacentral:misc_RNA from 1 species
UUCCUUAUCAUGGUACUAAACUUGGGAUAUCUCCUUUCCAACGAAAAAAGAAUCAUCAAAAUCGGUACACCCAGUAGAAAGUUAUGUGGUAUAAUACAACGUAGGUCGACGAAAAAAGCGUCAAGUAAAAACGCAUUAUUAGACAUAGCUCGAAAAGUAUAAAAGAAAAUUUGUCGAAAUCGCUCCACCCAGUCAAAAGUUCUGAUGUAACAUACAUAAAA